ACAGUGUCUGGUGGGUAGUUUGACUGGGGCGGUCUCCUCCUAAAGAGUAACGGAGGAGCACGAAGGUUGGCUAAUCCUGGUCGGACAUCAGGAGGUUAGUGCAAUGGCAUAAGCCAGCUUGACUGCGAGCGUGACGGCGCGAGCAGGUGCGAAAGCAGGUCAUAGUGAUCCGGUGGUUCUGAAUGGAAGGGCCAUCGCUCAACGGAUAAAAGGUACUCCGGGGAUAACAGGCUGAUACCGCCCAAGAGUUCAUAUCGACGGCGGUGUUUGGCACCUCGAUGUCGGCUCAUCACAUCCUGGGGCUGAAGUAGGUCCCAAGGGUAUGGCUGUUCGCCAUUUAAAGUGGUACGCGAGCUGGGUUUAGAACGUCGUGAGACAGUUCGGUCCCUAUCUGCCGUGGGCGCUGGAAGACUGAGGGGGGCUGCUCCUAGUACGAGAGGACCGGAGUGGACGCAUCACUGGUGUUCGGGUUGUCAUGCCAAUGGCACUGCCCGGUAGCUAAAUGCGGAAGAGAUAAGUGCUGAAAGCAUCUAAGCACGAAACUUGCCCCGAGAUGAGUCUUCCCUGAGACUAUAAGUCUCCUGAAGGAACGUUAAAGACGAUGACGUUGAUAGGCCGGGUGUGUAAGCGCAGCGAUGCGUUGAGCUAACCGGUACUAAUGAACCGUGAGGCUUAACCUUACAACGCCGAAG
rnacentral:rRNA from 1 species